UACAGAGGUCCCGAGCGUUGUUCGGAUUCACUGGGCGUAAAGGGUGCGUAGGUGGCCUGAAAAGUUUGAUGUGAAAGCUCAGGGCUUAACCCUGAAAUGGCAUUGAAUACUGUCGGGCUGGAGGUUUGGAGGGGGGACUGGAAUUCUUGGUGUAGCAGUGAAAUGCGUAGAUAUCAAGAGGAACACCAGUGGCGAAGGCGAGUCCCUGGGCAUUACCUGACGCUGAGGAGCGAAAGUGUGGGGAGCGAACAGG
rnacentral:rRNA from 1 species